rnacentral:rRNA from 1 species
CCUUGACAUCCAGAGAACUUAGCAGNGAUGCUUUGGUGCCUUCGGGAACUCUGAGACAGGUGCUGCAUGGCUGUCGUCAGCUCGUGUUGUGAAAUGUUGGGUUAAGUCCGCAACGAGCGCAACCCUUAUCCUUUGUUGCCAGCGGUUCGGCCGGGAACUCAAAGGAGACUGCCGGUGAUAAACCGGAGGAAGGUGGGGAUGACGUCAAGUCAUCAUGGCCCUUACGGCCAGGGCUACACACGUGCUACAAUGGCGCAUACAAAGAGAAGCGACCUCGCGAGAGCAAGCGGACCUCAUAAAGUGCGUCGUAGUCCGGAUUGGAGUCUGCAACUCGACUCCAUGAAGUCGGAAUCGCUAGUAAUCGUAGAUCAGAAUGCUACGGUGAAUACGUUCCCGGGCCUUGUACACACCGCCCGUCACACCAUGGGAGUGGGUUGCAAAAGAAGUAGGUAGCUUAACCUUCGGGAGGGCGCUUACCACUUUGUGAUUCAUGACUGGGGUGAAGUCGUAACAAGGUAGGCGUACGUGU